rnacentral:sRNA from 12 species
GACUGCUGUGUUAAUCAGAUGCAGCAGCACGACUUGAUAAGUUCAAGAGAGUCAUGUUCUUUCGGCUAUGCCGUAAAAAUAAAGUACAAAC